rnacentral:rRNA from 1 species
GAAUGAACCGGCGAGUUACGAUUUGAUGCAAGGUUAAGCAGUAAAUGUGGAGCCGUAGCGAAAGCGAGUCUGAAUAGGGCGUUUAGUAUUUGGUCGUAGACCCGAAACCAGGUGAUCUACCCUUGGUCAGGUUGAAGUUCAGGUAACACUGAAUGGAGGACCGAACCGACUUACGUUGAAAAGUGAGCGGAUGAACUGAGGGUAGCGGAGAAAUUCCAAUCGAACCUGGAGAUAGCUGGUUCUCUCCGAAAUAGCUUUAGGGCUAGCCUCAAGUGAUGAUUAUUGGAGGUAGAGCACUGUUUGGACGAGGGGCCCCUCUCGGGUUACCGAAUUCAGACAAACUCCGAAUGCCAAUUAAUUUAACUUGGGAGUCAGAACAUGGGUGAUAAGGUCCGUGUUCGAAAGGGAAACAGCCCAGACCACCAGCUAAGGUCCCAAAAUAUAUGUUAAGUGGAAAAGGAUGUGGCGUUGCCCAGACAACUAGGAUGUUGGCUUAGAAGCAGCCAUCAUUUAAAGAGUGCGUAAUAGCUCACUAGUCGAGUGACACUGCGCCGAAAAUGUACCGGGGCUAAACAUAUUACCGAAGCUGUGGAUUGUCCUUUGGACAAUGGUAGGAGAGCGUUCUAAGGGCGUUGAAGCAUGAUCGUAAGGACAUGUGGAGCGCUUAGAAGUGAGAAUGCCGGUGUGAGUAGCGAAAGACGGGUGAGAAUCCCGUCCACCGAUUGACUAAGGUUUCCAGAGGAAGGCUCGUCCGCUCUGGGUUAGUCGGGUCCUAAGCUGAGGCCGACAGGCGUAGGCGAUGGAUAACAGGUUGAUAUUCCUGUACCACCUAUAAUCGUUUUAAUCGAUGGGGGGACGCAGUAGGAUAGGCGAAGCGUGCGAUUGGAUUGCACGUCUAAGCAGUAAGGCUGAGUAUUAGGCAAAUCCGGUACUCAUUAAGGCUGAGCUGUGAUGGGGAGAAGACAUUGUGUCUUCGAGUCGUUGAUUUCACACUGCCGAGAAAAGCCUCUAGAUAGAAAAUAGGUGCCCGUACCGCAAACCGACACAGGUAGUCAAGAUGAGAAUUCUAAGGUGAGCGAGCGAACUCUCGUUAAGGAACUCGGCAAAAUGACCCCGUAACUUCGGGAGAAGGGGUGCUCUUUAGGGUUAACGCCCAGAAGAGCCGCAGUGAAUAGGCCCAAGCGACUGUUUAUCAAAAACACAGGUCUCUGCUAAACCGUAAGGUGAUGUAUAGGGGCUGACGCCUGCCCGGUGCUGGAAGGUUAAGAGGAGUGGUUAGCUUCUGCGAAGCUACGAAUCGAAGCCCCAGUAAACGGCGGCCGUAACUAUAACGGUCCUAAGGUAGCGAAAUUCCUUGUCGGGUAAGUUCCGACCCGCACGAAAGGCGUAACGAUUUGGGCACUGUCUCAACGAGAGACUCGGUGAAAUCAUAGUACCUGUGAAGAUGCAGGUUACCCGCGACAGGACGGAAAGACCCCGUGGAGCUUUACUGUAGCCUGAUAUUGAAAUUCGGCACAGCUUGUACAGGAUAGGUAGGAGCCUUUGAAACGUGAGCGCUAGCUUACGUGGAGGCGCUGGUGGGAUACUACCCUAGCUGUGUUGGCUUUCUAACCCGCACCACUUAUCGUGGUGGGAGACAGUGUCAGGCGGGCAGUUUGACUGGGGCGGUCGCCUCCUAAAAGGUAACGGAGGCGCUCAAAGGUUCCCUCAGAAUGGUUGGAAAUCAUUCAUAGAGUGUAAAGGCAUAAGGGAGCUUGACUGCGAGACCUACAAGUCGAGCAGGGUCGAAAGACGGACUUAGUGAUCCGGUGGUUCCGCAUGGAAGGGCCAUCGCUCAACGGAUAAAAGCUACCCCGGGGAUAACAGGCUUAUCUCCCCCAAGAGUUCACAUCGACGGGGAGGUUUGGCACCUCGAUGUCGGCUCAUCGCAUCCUGGGGCUGUAGUCGGUCCCAAGGGUUGGGCUGUUCGCCCAUUAAAGCGGUACGCGAGCUGGGUUCAGAACGUCGUGAGACAGUUCGGUCCCUAUCCGUCGUGGGCGUAGGAAAUUUGAGAGGAGCUGUCCUU